rnacentral:snRNA from 1 species
GAUCAAAGUGUAGUAUCUGUUCUUAUCAGCUUAAUAUCUGAUACGACUCCCAUAGGGGUCAAGAUAUUAAACUUAUUUUUGUAAUGCGGCGGAAAUAACGAAGCUCGCUUCGCUUCUGCCACGGG